AUAGAUACCCCACUAUGCUUAGCCCUAAACAUAAGUACUCAACUAACAAGAAUACUCGCCAGAGAACUACUAGCUACUGCUUAAAACUCAAAGGACUUGGCGGUGCUUUACACCCCUCUAGAGGAGCCUGUUCUGUAAUCGAUAAACCCCGCUAAACCUGACCACUCUUUGCAACGUCAGCUUAUAUACCGCCAUCUUCAGCAAACCCUAACAAGGCACCAUAGUAAGCACAAUAAUUACACAUAAAAACGUUAGGUCAAGGUGUAGCCUAUAGAGUGGGAAGAAAUGGGCUACAUUUUCUAACUCCUAGAACAUCUCACGACAGCUGUCAUGAAAUAUGAUUAGCCUAAGGCGGAUUUAGUAGUAAGCUGGGAAUAGAGUGCCCGGCUGAAUCGGGCAAUAAAGCACGCACACACCG
rnacentral:rRNA from 1 species